ACGGCAGAAGGUGAGAAGACGACGGCGAAUGGCGGCGAUGGCGGAUCAUAACGAAAAACACGGCGGCGACUCGGUAUCUUCUUCGACUCUUCGAAAGGGAUCUCGAAUCCCUAACACACAAUCUUUCGUUUCCUCGGUCUCCGGCAAUGGUAGUGACGACGGCGGGGUUGGUUCGUGUGGUAGCCUGAGGCGGUUAUAGUAGUUGGAGGCCGGCAAUA